rnacentral:rRNA from 2 species
UGCAGUCGAGCGAACUGAUUAGAAGCUUGCUUCUAUGACGUUAGCGGCGGACGGGUGAGUAACACGUGGGCAACCUGCCUGUAAGACUGGGAUAACUUCGGGAAACCGAAGCUAAUACCGGAUAGGAUCUUCUCCUUCAUGGGAGAUGAUUGAAAGAUGGUUUCGGCUAUCACUUACAGAUGGGCCCGCGGUGCAUUAGCUAGUUGGUGAGGUAACGGCUCACCAAGGCAACGAUGCAUAGCCGACCUGAGAGGGUGAUCGGCCACACUGGGACUGAGACACGGCCCAGACUCCUACGGGAGGCAGCAGUAGGGAAUCUUCCGCAAUGGACGAAAGUCUGACGGAGCAACGCCGCGUGAGUGAUGAAGGCUUUCGGGUCGUAAAACUCUGUUGUUAGGGAAGAACAAGUACGAGAGUAACUGCUCGUACCUUGACGGUACCUAACCAGAAAGCCACGGCUAACUACGUGCCAGCAGCCGCGGUAAUACGUAGGUGGCAAGCGUUAUCCGGAAUUAUUGGGCGUAAAGCGCGCGCAGGCGGUUUCUUAAGUCUGAUGUGAAAGCCCACGGCUCAACCGUGGAGGGUCAUUGGAAACUGGGGAACUUGAGUGCAGAAGAGAAAAGCGGAAUUCCACGUGUAGCGGUGAAAUGCGUAGAGAUGUGGAGGAACACCAGUGGCGAAGGCGGCUUUUUGGUCUGUAACUGACGCUGAGGC